rnacentral:rRNA from 1 species
CGCAUCUGUGCAUGCAGCAUAUCAAUAAGCGGAGGAAAAGAAACUAACAAGGAUUCCCCUAGUAACGGCGAGUGAAGCGGGAAGAGCUCAAAUUUGAAAUCUUAAAGGGUUUCCCUUUACGAAUUGUAGUUUAAAGAAGUGUUUUCUGUUGAGGUUUUGGUAAAGGUUCUUUGGAAUAGGACAUCAUAGAGGGUGAGAAUCCCGUAUUUGACCUUUACUUUCAACUUUGUGAUACACUUUCAAAGAGUCGGAUUGUUUGGGAAUGCAGUCCAAAAUGGGUGGUAAAUUUCAUCUAAAGCUAAAUAUUGGCGAGAGACCGAUAGCGAACAAGUACCGUGAGGGAAAGAUGAAAAGAACUUUGAAAAGAGAGUUAAACAGUACGUGAAAUUGUCAAAAGGGAAGCGUUUGACACCAGUGUAUGUUUUUCUGAAAAUCAAUUAAAGAACUGUUUAUGCUAAGCUUGUUUAGACUUUAUCAGCUAAUCUGUUUAGUUUUAGGCUUUUCUUUAAUGCACUUUUCAGUUAACAAGUCAACAUCAAUUUCUUUUGCUGUAAAAAAGCUUGAGGAAGGUGGCUUGAGAUUCGUCUUAAGUGUUUAUAGCCUCUUGCCUAUGCAGUCGGAGAGAUUGAGGUCUGCAGCGUAGAUCCUUCGGGGCUAAAUGCAUUUGUGCUAAGUUAUAAGCAUUUUAUAGACAACUUGUUGACUAUGAUUCGUCUUGUAGCUUACUCGCUUAUGUUAUUUUACCUACGCUUAGGAUGUUGACAGCAGUAUAGACUGU